rnacentral:rRNA from 1 species
UACGUAGGGGGCUAGCGUUGUCCGGAAUCAUUGGGCGUAAAGCGCGUGUAGGCGGUUCGGUAAGUCCGCUGUGAAAGUCGGGGGCUCAACCCUCGGAUGCCGGUGGAUACUGUCGGACUAGAGUACGGAAGAGGCGAGUGGAAUUCCUGGUGUAGCGGUGGAAUGCGCAGAUAUCAGGAGGAACACCUAUAGCGAAGGCAGCUUGCUGGGACGUUACUGACGCUAAGGCGCGAAAGCGUGGGGAGCGAACAGG